AAGUCGUAACAAGGUUUCCGUAGGUGAACCUGCGGAAGGAUCAUUACUGAGUUUGAAAUUUUGUAAAAAAAAUUUCAUCUCCCACCCUUUGUUUAUAAGACCUGUUGCUUCGGUGAGAUUGAUUUAAUUAUCGAUUGAUUGAAAAAAAAUCAUUUUUUUCAAUGAAUUUUGCUUGCCGAAGGUUUUUUAUAACACUUUUUUUUGAUAUUCAGAGUUUUUUUAAAAAACAAAAGAAUUAAAACUUUCAACAACGGAUCUCUUGGUUCUG
rnacentral:misc_RNA from 1 species